UGUGUCUGCACAGCACAGUUUCUUCAUCGGUUCACCUGCUGCGGGGCCCUUGGCUGGUUCCCUUUUGUGACUGUGGAUAGAGUCAUAGUCAAGAUGGCCGCGCAGGUGUCUCUCUGCUAUGGGUUUUUGCAUGUGCGCCCACUGGUAGUGAAGCAGGCUCAAAUCUCUCCAGAGCUUUAGACUCAAUAGCCUUUCUGGACAGAGGCCUCAGUGCAGGACACACAGACUAUUCAAUGAUGGGCCAGGGUGAGCAGGCAGAACCUUCAUUUGAAGGGACAAAGAGACGGUUGAACAUGGGAUGGGGGCAGGGUUUUGCAGGAAGCCACCUGAUUUUUCUUAUGGGUAGCAUGGAGACCCCAUACUCCUACCCAGUGUGCACCUCACUCCCACCCCCAGGCAUGGUUUUGAUUUUGCUGUUUUGAAGAAAGGCUCUCACGCAGCCCAGGCUGGCUUUGGACUCACUGUGUUGUUGAAGAUGGCCUCGAGCUUCGGAGCCUCCUGAGUACAGAGAUCGCAGAUGCGUAGGGCCACACCUCAGGAAGGCUCUCUGUCAAUUGAGACACCCUCAUUUCAAUUUGCGAAUGAAGGAGAUUGCACCUACUUCAGGAAGCCUGUUUCUAGCAGGGGAUAAGCUAGAACAUAACCUCUAAACUCUUCCCAGGAAAGCCACGAGCUAUUUCCAUUUUCAGCCGUGGACCCAAUGGGAGGUCAAGGGAGACAAGUAAAGCCUGCCUGGGGGUUCAGGGUGAGACUUCCAGGCUGCACUCCAGCAGAGUUAGGGACCACCUUGGCAGUUGUUGCUGGUGGCAUCUGGCUGGGAUGUGACCGGAUCCGGAAGUGAUCAUCCUAAUUAGCCCCACCUCCCACCAUGCUAGGACUCUUGAGAGCCAUGGAGGCUGCCUGAGCUCUGCACGUCAUGGAGGGAAGGGCGGUGCUGGCCCGCUAUGAGUUCUGGGAAAGGCUGCAUAGGUCAAGCUCAAGUCCAGCACACUGAGGCUGAAUGGUGGAAUACGUGGCCCAGGUCAGACCAGUGGGGACAAGCAGGAGUUUACACGAUCCACAGUGGUGUUCCUGUCACUGGUUCAGAAGAGGCAUGGCACGUGGGGAGCGUCCUGAGAAUCUCACCAGACUCUACUUGGUUCAAGGAUCCAGAGGGGGUGACUCCGGCCCUCAACAAACUCAAGAGUGAUGAGGAAAUAAAGCAGGAUAGAAUCUGUGCCCCCGCUGCCCUGGUGGAGGGAGUAUCUCCAAGGCUCAGGACAGUGCAGGUGAGCGGGGUAGUCUUAGCUCUCCAACAGAUGGAAAGCUAAGAUCACAAAGUCGCCUCUUGUGGACCAGUGCUAAGCCUAGCUGAUGCCUGUUCCUUCUGUCACCACUAAACUAAUGAGUUCGCUGAAGCCCAGAGAGGUGAAGACACACGCUGGAGGCCACACAGCUGUGAGCAGCAAGGGGAGUGUGCGAGCCGAUUACUCAUGGCUGUAAGCGCCUGUCUUUCAUCCAAUGCAAUGACGGUUCUAAUUAACACAUGAGGUUCUAUCCCAUCCCCACCCCAAGUCUGAUGACAUAGCCAUGUGCCUUAGACCAGCGUGGCCUCCAGAUUUUUCCACAAAAGUUUCCAGUUAUAUGCAUAGCGGCCUGAAGAAUACCCUCCCGUGUUUAGUCAGGCUAAACCAUCACUUCUUACAGUUAUGAAUUAUGGGUCUGGUUUGGGGUGCAGCUGUGGGGGUAUGUCAAUUACUGGCAAAAGCAACUUAAGGAAGAAAGUUAUUAGGGUUCCCAGUUCAAGGCAGGAGACAAAAAGGGUAGAGGGUAGAGAGGGGUAGGUGUGUUCAACAAAAUGAGAGAUUCGUGGAAAAGGUUUAUGGAAACUUGCCAGUUAGUAAGCUAAUUUCAAACUACAAAUUAAAAACAAAACGUUUAUACAGAAUUCUUGUGCAUGAGUGAGCAAAGUCCCCGCCAGCAGACACGAGUUAUUAAAUGAACAUCGCAGUGCAAGGCAUGGGUAUGACGCCUCCCUGUGAGUUAGUCAGGGAGGCCCCAGAAGUCUCCAAAAUAACACAGGCUGUUGUCAUGGCCUUUGGAUGCUUCCCUCCCUCAUAACUAUAUGGCAAGGCCCUGCUGGCUGAAGACGCUGUACACUUUGGCUGAAG
rnacentral:lncRNA from 1 species